ACACAUGCAAGUCGAACGAAGCACUUAUCUUUGAUUCUUCGGAUGAAGAGGUUUGUGACUGAGUGGCGGACGGGUGAGUAACGCGUGGGUAACCUGCCUCAUACAGGGGGAUAACAGUUAGAAAUGACUGCUAAUACCGCAUAAGACCACAGAGCCGCAUGGCUCAGUGGGAAAAACUCCGGUGGUAUGAGAUGGACCCGCGUCUGAUUAGGUAGUUGGUGGGGUAACGGCCUACCAAGCCAACGAUCAGUAGCCGACCUGAGAGGGUGACCGGCCACAUUGGGACUGAGACACGGCCCAAACUCCUACGGGAGGCAGCAGUGGGGAAUAUUGCACAAUGGGGGAAACCCUGAUGCAGCGACGCCGCGUGAGCGAAGAAGUAUUUCGGUAUGUAAAGCUCUAUCAGCAGGGAAGAAAAUGACGGUACCUGACUAAGAAGCACCGGCUAAAUACGUGCCAGCAGCCGCGGUAAUACGUAUGGUGCAAGCGUUAUCCGGAUUUACUGGGUGUAAAGGGAGCGUAGACGGCUGUGUAAGUCUGAAGUGAAAGCCCGGGGCUCAACCCCGGGACUGCUUUGGAAACUAUGCAGCUAGAGUGUCGGAGAGGUAAGUGGAAUUCCCAGUGUAGCGGUGAAAUGCGUAGAUAUUGGGAGGAACACCAGUGGCGAAGGCGGCUUACUGGACGAUGACUGACGUUGAGGCUCGAAAGCGUGGGGAGCAAACAGGAUUAGAUACCCUGGUAGUCCACGCCGUAAACGAUGACUACUAGGUGUCGGG
rnacentral:rRNA from 1 species